rnacentral:rRNA from 1 species
UACGUAGGGGGCAAGCGUUGUCCGGAAUCAUUGGGCGUAAAGAGCGUGUAGGCGGCCAGAUAAGUCCGCUGUGAAAACUCGAGGCUCAACUUCGAGCUGUCGGCGGAAACUAUCUGGCUAGAGUCCGGAAGAGGAGAGUGGAAUUCCUGGUGUAGCGGUGAAAUGCGCAGAUAUCAGGAAGAACACCCGUGGCGAAAGCGGCUCUCUGGAACGGUACUGACGCUGAGACGCGAAAGCGUGGGGAGCGAACAGG